rnacentral:rRNA from 1 species
UGGGGAAUAUUGGACAAUGGGCGCAAGCCUGAUCCAGCCAUGCCGCGUGAGUGAUGAAGGCCUUAGGGUUGUAAAGCUCUUUCACCGGGGACGAUGAUGACGGUACCCGGAGAAGAAGCCCCGGCUAACUUCGUGCCAGCAGCCGCGGUAAUACGAAGGGGGCAAGCGUUGUUCGGAAUUACUGGGCGUAAAGGGCGCGUAGGCGGUCCGUUGCGUCAGGUGUGAAAUCCCCGGGCUCAACCUGGGAACUGCACUUGAUACGGGCGGGCUGGAAUCCGUGAGAGGUUGGUGGAAUUCCCAGUGUAGAGGUGAAAUUCGUAGAUAUUGGGAAGAACACCGGUGGCGAAGGCGGCCAACUGGGCACGGUAGUUGACGCUGAGGCGCGAAAGCGUGGGGGAGCAAACAGGAUUAGAUACCCUGGUAGUCCACGCCGUAAACGAUGUGCGCUAGCCGUCGGGCAGCAUGCUGUUCGUGGCGCAGCUAACGCAUUAA